rnacentral:rRNA from 1 species
GCCAGCAGCACUAUCACCCUGCAACUCACAUUGGGCAGCCCACUGAAGCUAAGCAGGUGUGAGCCUGGUGUGAGCACCUGGAUGGGAGACCUCCUGGGAAAAACUAAGGUUGCUGUUGGAA